rnacentral:rRNA from 1 species
CCGUUGCCGGCGACCGGCGCACGGGUGAGUAACACGUAUGCAACCUGCCCGUGGCAGGGGGAUAAGCGGGGGAAACCCCGUCUAAUACCGCGUAACGCGGCCUAGGGACAUCCCAAGGCCGCCAAGGGAGCAAUCCCGGCCACGGAUGGGCAUGCGGCGCAUUAGCUAGUCGGCGGGGUAACGGCCCACCGAGGCGACGAUGCGUAGGGGUUCUGAGAGGAACGGCCCCCCACACUGGUACUGAGACACGGACCAGACUCCUACGGGAGGCAGCAG